rnacentral:lncRNA from 10 species
AAACUUAUGAAGAUAUAUGAAAACUCAUUGGUAGGCAGGAAAAUAUAAAUGUAAGCUACUAGCUUAUUUUACAAGGAUAAGACAAAAACAAAAUCAAGAAAUAAACUGUUAUAAUUUGGUUUAUUUACCCCUCCAAAUCUUAUGUUGAAAUUUGAUCCCCAGUAUUGGAGAUGGGACUUAAUGGGAGGUUUUUGGGUCAUGGGGGGCAAAUCCCUUAUAAACAGAUUAAUGCACUCCCUAGGAUGGGGGAUGGCGAGUGAGUUCUCGCUCUAUUAGCUCCCACCAGAGCUGGAUGUUAAAAAGCACCUGGCACCUCUCCUUUCCUGCUUCCUCUCUCACCAUAUGAUCUCUGCACAGCCAGUUUUCCUUUGCCUUCCACCAUGAGUGGAAGCAGCUGGAGGUCCUCACCCAAAGCAGACGCUGGUGCCAUGCUUCCUGCACAACCUGCAGGACCAUAAGCCAAAUAAACCUUUUUCAAAACAAAUUACCAGGUCUUCCUCAGGUAUUCCUUUAAAGCAACAGAUAUAACCUAAGACAUAACCAUUUGGGGGCAUGAUCUAGGAAAA